AGUAGUUUGACUCCGUGCUCGAGAUAACGCUGGCGGCGUGCUUAACACAUGCAAGUCGAACGGAGUAUAUCAAUCGAAACCUUCGGGCUUCACCCGGUGUACUUAGUGGCGGACGGGUGAGUAACGCGUGAGCAACCAACCUUAUGCAGGGGGAUAACAAUUAGAAAUGAUUGCUAAUACCCCAUAAGACCACAGGACCGCAUGGUUCAGCGAGAAAAACUCCGGUGGCAUAAGACGGGCUCGCGUUCGAUUAGCUAGAUGGUGAGGUAACGGCCCACCAUGGCGACGAUCGAUAGCCGGACUGAGAGGUCGACCGGCCACAUUGGGACUGAGACACGGCCCAGACUCC
rnacentral:rRNA from 1 species